GACGAACGCUGGCGGCGUGCUUAACACAUGCAAGUCGAACGGAAAGGCCCUGCUUGUGUGGGGUGCUCGAGUGGCGAACGGGUGAGUAACACGUGAGUAACCUGCCCUUGACUUUGGGAUAACUUCAGGAAACUGGGGCUAAUACCGGAUAGGAGCUCCUGCUGCAUGGUGGGGGUUGGAAAGUUUCGGCGGUUGGGGAUGGACUCGCGGCUUAUCAGCUUGUUGGGGGGGUAGUGGCUUACCAAGGCUUUGACGGGUAGCCGGCCUGAGAGGGUGACCGGCCACAUUGGGACUGAGAUACGGCCCAGACUCCUACGGGAGGCAGCAGUGGGGAAUAUUGCACAAUGGGCGGAAGCCUGAUGCAGCAACGCCGCGUGCGGGAUGACGGCCUUCGGGUUGUAAACCGCUUUCGCCUGUGACGAAGCGUGAGUGACGGUAAUGGGUAAAGAAGCACCGGCUAACUACGUG
rnacentral:rRNA from 1 species